GUAGAUUAUUGAGGUAGGAAAAACAAGUCUGGUCCCAGAAGCAGGAGCCGACCUUUGAGUUCACCAUCACUGUCUUUGUUAUCCUCUUCUAGUGUUUGCAUAUUGAUCUCCUAGUGCUGCUAGUAUUAUAAGAAAGUCCAACAUGUUUCUCAUUCUGAAUAUGUACAGCCAAUGUGCAGCUAGUGUUGUUAAUUUGCAUGUGUUACGAAUAUGCAUGGGUUUUUUGGUCAAGAAUAUAGCGAAGUUUUGAGUGUUGACUUGUAGUGGGUUUGCAGGUUAUCAAUAUGGCUGCUUUUUCCUCUGCUGCUGCAAUCCCCUCUCAGGAAAAGUAUGAUGUGUUUCUUAGUUUCAGAGGUGAAGACCAGCCAUCUUUAUGCUGCUUUAUGCGCAAAGAAAAUCAAAACCUACAUAGACGACAUACUUGAGAGAAGGUAGCAAAUUGCACCUGCCCUUCUCAAAGCAAUUGAGACAUCAAAGCUUUUGGUGAUCAUUUUCUCGAUAAGCUAUGCUUCAUCCACAUGGUCUUUGGAUGAACUAUUGCAUAUACUGCGAUGCAAGGCAAGAGGGGGACAGUUUGGUCUACCGAUUUUUUACUGCAUCGACCCAUCACAUGUUCGAAAUCAGCAGGGAAGUUGUGCAUAUGCAUUUGCCCAACUUUGAAGGAAGCAGAAAAUAUGGCUGGGUUUGAUAAUUCAAACAAAACCGGGUAACGAACUCUGCUAUUUCUACUUGUGACCAUUUAAUUCAAACAAGAUUCCUUAAGGCUAAAUAAUUGUUUGUCCUCAUAAUUGUAGAACUGUAAGUAGUGAGCUGAUUAGUUUAGUCUAAGCCUAAAACGAUAAUUGUGUAUGCACUUAGUCUCUUAGAGCACUUCCACCAGUUGACUCUUGCCAUGGCAAGAUUAGCCCUAGGGCAGGCACUAUUCACGUGAAUAGUUGCUGCCCUAGUCUCCUCCAGCAAAAUGUGUUUCCAGCAGUUAGGGGCUUGCCAUGGCAAUUACUAUUCAUUUUUUUGUUUUUUUUCACAAUUUUGUUUACUUAAAUAAUUAAUUUGGAUAAUAUUUUCGGAUAAGAUUUUUGGGUUCCUACGUGUCAAUACUAUUCAUAUCGGAUAAGAUUUUCGGUUUAAAAUUUCAAAUAAAUUUCAAAUUUCAGAUACAUUUCAAAAUUCAAAUUUCAGAUAAAUUCAAAAUGUCAAAUUUCAGAUACAUUUCGGAAUUCAAAUUUCAAAUAAAUUUGAAAUUUGAAAUUUCAUUUGAAUUUCAAAUUUCAGAUAAGAUUUUCACCCUCUAAGAUUGCGCCACGUGUCAUAUCUAUCUGUGUACAUUUUUCUAUAAAAUCAGAAGUUCAGCUCAUACCUCCCACACCAAUUCUUCUCUACAUUUCCAUUUCUCAAAUUUUAGCUUUCAUUCUCCAUUCUCAAUGGCAGACAUGGAAGAGGUUUUGGAGAGGCAAGAGAGAGAAACUAGAGAAAGAAUGCGGAGACGAGCUGCAAGCAAAAGGGCGCAGAGAGAACUAGAUGAGCAACUUGGCAUAGCAGUUGCUUUGCUGGAGGAAGAAAAGCAGGCUCGCCGUGGUUCACGAGAAGGCCGUCGCCCAAAUGUGGACAGACAUAGACAUUCCCGGGGUAUGGAAGAUUAUUUUAUCCCACAAUCUCUGUACUCUGAUGUUCAUUUUCGUUCAAGCACUACCGGAAAUCUCAUCGGGGAAUAGGCCUUGGAAUAUUUUCAAUGGGUGAGUCUUGACUCAUCGGGGAAUCCAUAGGUGAAUUCGAUGCCGGAGUCUCAUGAAGUGGAGUCUCGUUCAAGACUACCGUCGGACCGGUCACUCUUACCUCCCAACAAUGGGUAUGGUUAAAACUUUUUUUCCCUUGGCCGGUAGCACCAAACCACAUUUGUGCUUGUAUAAUCUAUAAAAAAAAAAAAUGAAAUGGAAAUGCAAGAGAAUUUUUCAAAUAUUGGCAAUGCAACAUGUACAAAAAAAACUAAUGGAAAUUAAAGAAACAAUAAAAACAAUGCAACAUGUAUUAACAAAAAAUAGAGACAUAUUAACUAAAUAUAUAAAUUGCAAGAAACAUUAAAAUAAAAAUUAAUAUGACAUAGAAAUUAAUAGAAGAAAAAUGACAAAUAAUUUACCUCAUUGCUAAGAUUUUCUCCGCUUCGUUGGUUGUCGAUCGCUUUUGCUAAAGCAUUUCUCCAUUUCCCCAACUCUUUAUUAAGAACUUUCCACCUACUGGAUAAUGCCAUUUCUGUACGUGUAGAACCAAUUGCCCUUUCACAAAAUGCUUGAUGAAUUUUUUUCCACAUAUGAGAAAAUUUAAUCUCAUUGCCCGUUACUGGACAAUGACUAACUUGGACCCAAGCCUCACACAAGCUAACAUCUUCUAUCAUGCUCCAUGCCCCUCCAUUUUCAUUAGAAGAACCCAUAAUAUGCUAGAAAAAAAUUAAACUUCAAAGUGAAAAAAUAUUGAAUAGAAAGUGAAUAAAUAUUGAGGAGAAAGUGAACAAUAGUAGAAGGAGAAGAAAAUAUAUGAGGAUUUGGUGUUAAAAGUGAAGAGUAUUGGUUGGUAUUUAUACACAAAAAAUUCUGUAAUUUUUGUGUAUUUUAAAAAAAAAAAUUCGAUUUUUUUUCAUUUUUUUUUUGCAGAAAAAUUGGCUGCCGUCGGAUUGAAGGAAAAAUUCCAAUCGGAGCGACCAGAUUGCGCCACGUGUCAAGGAGCCGUUGCGGUUACUGUAGCGCUGAUUUGAAAUUUUUUUUAACGUUGGCGCGUGCAAUGCACGCGCCAACGGUAAAAAAAAUUUAAACGAAUCAGGGCUGACGUCAUGCUGGCGUCAGCUAUUUUGUCCCAGCCUUCGGUCUCGAGCUCGGGCUGAAAUCGACUUCGGGCCUGCCCGUUUUGCUGGGGCCCACGCUCGCCCGGGCUGACUCUGGCCUGCUGGGCGUGACUUUUUCGCCCAAACCCCCCCAGCCCGAGUCCACUUCAUCUGCUGGACUUGCUCUUAGAAUGACAGGUGUAAGGCUCCAAAAUGUAAGGCUGAAAUAGCCACGUGUAGUCAUCCUAGAAUGGCUAGAUGUGUGGCUGAGAUUCAAUAUGUUGUGUGUGAAUCCAGCUAAGGCUAACGGUUAUGUAGUACAUGCCUUGUGUGCUCAUUCCGAUUGAAGAGAAAUAUAUUUCUCUCUGCAAUUUCAGCAAGAGAGAAGCAGAACAUUUCAUCACUCUGCAUUUCUUCAUUCUUCUAUUCAUUCUCCUCAACAUUCUAUAACUCAGCUAAAAUAUAAAACACUAACAAUAAUCAUAUUUGCCAGGACAGAGGCCAAUUUCAUUGCCAACGUUGUCGAAGAUAUUUUGACCAAAUUGAAUCGCAAAUUGUCAAGUGAUUUAAAGGGCCUAGUCGGAAUUGAAUGGAAAAUUGAGCAAAUAGAAGGGUCAUUAUGCAUUAAUUCACCAGAUGUUUUCAGUGCAGGUAUUUUGGGCAUGGGUAGUAUUGACAAGACCACUCUCGCUGAUGCUUAUUUCGCUUAUUGUAUCAAAUUUAGUGUGAUUACUUCUUGAGAUAUUUAGUCAUAUACCCAUUCUUAAAACUAAAACUAUAAAUAAACCCUACACCAUUUUACUUCUAAAAUUCAUUUCAUAUAGGAUUUUUUUAUAAUUUGAGAACUUAAAAAGUCCAUUUCAUAUAUGUCUAAGUUAUUAAGUCUUGUCAUUUCUCUUUAUUUAUGACAGAAUCUUGAUAACUUAAAAAGUGAUGGAUCUUAGUUUCUCCACUCAUCUUAUUGAAGUCCAAGAUCUCUCUCAAAGUCGAAAAUUGGUG
rnacentral:lncRNA from 1 species